GACAGAGGGUGCAAACGUUGUUCGGAAUUACUGGGCGUAAAGCGCGUGUAGGCUGUCUUGCAAGUCGGGUGUGAAAGCCCUGGGCUCAACCUAGGAAGUGCACUCGAAACUGCAGGACUCGAGUCCUGGAGAAGAAGGCGGAAUUCUCGGUGUAGAGGUGAAAUUCGUAGAUAUCGAGAGGAACACCGGUGGCGAAGGCGGGUCUCUGGACAGUUCCUGACGCUGAGGCACGAAGGUCAGGGGAGCAAACGGG
rnacentral:rRNA from 1 species